GAGAGAGAGAGAGAGAGAGAGAGAGAGAAGAAAUAUGUUUUGCUCAUUUGUGCACCCACUUUAUAAAAGGGUUCAUAUCGCAGUGCCUUGCUGUGGAACCAGGAUUCAAGAGUUUGAAACCCUACCCUGCCUUCCAGGAGAGGGGCCAGCAGCAGGGAACACACAGAGCUUGUGUGGCUGGAUUUCUGUGCAAAACUAAGCCCUCACCUGAGCCUGAAUUUGUACCACUAAGAGAGCACAUUCAUUCUGUCCACCAAACAAGUACAGGUAGAAAUUCCUCUCACCUGGGAGGCUGGUGACUUGUUUUUUCAGAAACGACAUAGACAGCAUCAAAAGAUCUACCUCAGGAACUUUGGAAGCUGUAAAACACCAAACCUGCACACUUCUAAAUGUAACUAAAAAGUAACUGGGCAAAUGUUCAGUGCCACCCACUUUUCUCCUAGUCUUGGACAAAGCUCUAAAGCUGAAAUUUGGAGUAAGUCUCAUUGAACGGAGUAACACUUCUGCGUAAGGAUAUAUAGGACUGGAAUUCAUUAUUGUUCUCAUAUCCUCUGCUCGUAUAGUGCAAGCCUCACUCCUGUAUUUCAACAUCCUGGCACCUGUAAGAAACCAGAUAUUGCAUCCACAUUAAGGUUGACUAUGAUUCAUGUUGUUCAUAAGAGGGAGAGAGGCUUCUAUUUCUGUUUCAGUGCCACUCAGCAAAGUACCCCAGCAAAGUGCACUCUUGAAGGUGGAAUCUGAAGAGCAAAGGAAAAUCACCAUGACUCCUUUUCUGUAAUCCGUUGUUUUGUUCAUAACCUCAGCAAUGGAAUGACCACCCACUUAGAAGUUUGACUUAUUUCAAAUGGUUUUGAUAUUCUUCUGGUAACAUAUGUAUUUGUGUGUAUUUGGGAUGUUAACCAAAGUGUAAAGUCCAAAAAUCCAUGUUCUUAACUGAAAGAUGCAAAAUUUAAGUUGGGGGAAAACUCCACAUCCCGUAUUUAUUUUUAGACAAAAUAAUUAGCAAAGAUUCUAAAAACACAAAUCAAUGAAUGUGUCAUGCAAUAAUGAGAAAAUUGACAAUCAUUCUGCCUUUUCCCAAUUUCCAACAAUAUAAAUAUAUUUUUUCAGAAAAGAUGGAAGGGAGAAGACAAUCAAUCCAUGUGGGGAUAUUUUUGCUGGGCCAUCUAUCCUUAAUAAUGAUGUUAGUGUUUUGAACAAUUACUGGUCUAACCUCCACCAAUCUCACUCUACAUUUAUUUGCACAUUUCUGUCUAAAAGAGGAGCACCUUACUGCAUUUUUACCCAUUUCUUUGCUUCUAACGUACAGUAUAGCUUGUUUGCUGGAUAGUGUUUGUAAACUUGCAUGUAGCUCAAAACUGCCAUAUCCAAAGAUUUUUUAUACAGAAAUGAAGCAAGCAAGUGAUGGCUGUGGGCUAUUACAUUGCAAGGAACUCUUCAAAGCCCAAUGGGCUUGAGUUCAUCGUGCCAUUUCAUGCUGAUUCUGUCCUUACCCUUGAGCAGGAAUAAAUUGCUCUCUGACCAAAUAUCCCAGCAUUCUUAGAGUGCCAGAUCUGCCUCUAUCAAAGUGCAUCUGUGACCCUGCCUCUUUUGUUUUUUCUCCAUCAUUAUUGAUGGAUCCGUUUCACUGUUUUUGAACCAAGCAGCUUUCUCUGAAUGAGAACUCCCUCCUGAGUCCCAGAUCUUUAACUGACAGCCAGCUGUCAGCUAGUCAGUCACACGGUCACCCUUCUAAUGACAUAAGACCAGUGGAUCACUGCCAAGACCACCAUCCAUGAAUAGAAACAGCCUACAGAAGGGCACAUGGCUCGCCCGGGGCUGCAGCUUUCAUUUUGCUACAGACAGCAUCUUCGACAGGGUCACUACUACUGAGCUGCAUGGAAAUCAUCAGUACAAUUAUUCCUGUACUUCUGUUUCUUCUCUGAAUUAAUCCAUCCCCAGAUAAGAGCAUGUUCGCUUCCCCCCCCCUCGAUGUUUACUGCAUCUCUCUCUC